rfam:Ricinus communis cultivar Hale ctg_1100012353837, whole genome shotgun sequence.
AAUCCAUGGUGCGGGCAACAUCAAAGCAAGUCCUUGUACCUCUCCCAGGCAUCAUAAAUGCUCUCGUCAUCGAACUGCAUAAAAGAAGAUAUGUCAUUUCUCAAUCU